rnacentral:rRNA from 1 species
UACGAAGGUGGCAAGCGUUACUCGGAAUUACUAGGCGUAAAGGGCAGGUAGGUGGUUUGGUUAGUCUGUUGUGAAAGCUCCUUGCUUAACGGGGAGAGGUCAACAGAUACUGCCAAGACUUGAGUAUGGGAGAGGUUACUGGAAUCCUGGUGUAGCGGUGGAAAUGCGCAGAGAUCAGGAGGAACACCGAUGGCGAAAGCAGGUAACUGGACCAUUACUGACACUCAGCUGCGAAAGCUAGGGGAGCAAACAGG